GAAUUUAAUAUUGGAUUGCCAUAGACAGUAGGUUACUUGUUAUAUACAAGUAGUAAUUGAUGAUAUAUCAGCCUACCGAGGUAAGUUUUUAAGGUGAAUAACACCCCUCUAUGUCUAUGUGCAUAUGAGGGGUUUUAUAUUGACUUU
rfam:[Clostridium] clariflavum DSM 19732 chromosome, complete genome.